AAAUAAAAAGAAUAACCCUCUCCCUCAUGCCUCACUCUCAUGCGAAACACACCUCUUCGUUUUUCUUCUCCUUCACCGCAAGCGCCGGUCAGAUGCCCCGUUAGUUGUUCCACUCCAGCCGUCGAUCAGACGCGCCGCCAGUCGCCUAAAUCCUGCCGGUCGGACGCGCCACCAGUCGCCCAGUUCUAACCGCGUCUCCCCUCACUGCCUUAUCAAACUGCCGCCACGCCUUCUUCGUUGCUCAGAUCAAAAGUCGCAAUCGCUCGCCUAACUGAUUUCUCCUCCAUUCGUGGUCGUGUCGCCCAGCUGAGGGCAUCGUUUUCGUUCAUCACGCCCCUCUGUCGAAAACCCAUCGUUUCAAGCCCUCAACAUAGCUCGCCGUUCGUUCGAUCCAUCCAGCCGCCGCUCCCUCGCACUUCGCCGACCCAGACCCAAUCAGCUGCCGCCUCUUCACGCUUCGCCAACCCCAGAUCUAUCGUCGGUCGUUUCCCUUGUCGCCGUCGGAUCUGUUCUAUGUAAGGUUGAGGUGAGUUUUAGCGAAGCAUGGACUUAGAGGGAGCGUCGUCAAGAGAGGUUGGAAGUGAUCUUCAUCCUUUGGGUAAGGGUAGAGAUGCACCGGUGAUGGCGCAGUGGAAUUCGUGAUCGUGCCACUGGGACUAGU